UACGGAGGGUGCAAACGUUGCUCGGAAUCAUUGGGCGUAAAGCGCACGUAGGCGGCUAGAUAAGUCGGGUGUGAAAGCCCUGGGCCCAACCCAGGAAGUGCAUUCGAAACUGUCUAGCUUGAAUCUCGGAGGGGGUCAGAGAAUUCCCGGUGUAGAGGUGAAAUUCGUAGAUAUCGGGAGGAAUACCAGUGGCGAAGGCGCUGACCUGGACGAAGAUUGACGCUGAGGUGCGAAAGCGCGGGGAGCAAACAGG
rnacentral:rRNA from 1 species